UCUAAAGGUCCCUAGGUAAUUUUAAUGUACAACCAAGGUUGAGAACCACUAGACAACUAAUUUGAUAAAGUACUAAUAACCAUUCUAAUUACAACAUUUUUAGGUUUGUGAAAGGCAUGCGAGUUCUUUUUGCAUAAGGAAAUUUGUCAGACUUCAGAACAUCUUUUGUCCCUCAAACUCUUUUAUUCCCGUGUGUCAUUAAAAAAAUAAUCUGGCAUGUUCAGGACUGGAACAGAGAGCACGAAGCCUUCUUAUCCCCAUUCAUCUUGGGCUUCAACACCUUCCUAUGAACUACCCUUUGUUGGCAUUCACCCCAUUAUACUAUUCCUUCUCUCUUCCUAUUAUGGUCUGCACCUCUAAUUUAAGCUGUGGGGGAAGUGUCUCACCUAGUUCACAAGAGGGCUAACUUCACCACUCUCCAAACAGGUCCUACUUUUCAUAAUUGGGGCUAAAAAUAUUUUUUUCAUUAACAAAGUUACUAAUACAACCACAUACUGUUUUCAGACCUUUUCCUUGGUUUACUUCACUUCAAUAGGAUUAAUUUAUCAAAAAUCCAAACGUGGAACUUUGCAACAUCCCUAAUUUAGUCAGUCUCCUCUGUAAACAUCUGGAAUUCUCUCAUCACAGUCAGGUAUAAAUCCAUAUCCAGCUUUCUCUCUCGUUUAACUGACCAAAUUUGUAAUUUAUGCCAAACUCUUUCUAAACACUAAAAGUUCUCCAACAUAGAGCCCAUAUUAAGUCAAAACCACCACAGUAUCAAUGAUAUCUGUUCUCUGUGAAGUACAGCGUUGAUAAAGCCUGUGAAGUACUUUUCAAGUUACUUAAUUGCCCAUACUCUGCAUAUUACGUAUAACUCAUUUACUGGUUACCCUCAUUUCUAUCAUAGCUGUUUUACUGUUAAUUGGUUUCCUCGUUACCAAGGUGAUCUGAACUAGGGUCCAGAAAUUCAAACCCCAUUUGACAUUGGUGUAUUUUAGGGAUUUUCAACUGGUAUGCCACAAGAACUCUUAAAACAUACAAUACCUGACUAUUUAGUCAGGAAUUCUGAUCUCUUUUCCCUAAGACUGUCAAACAUGACAACAGCCAACACAACAGCUGUCCGGUGUGAAUGAAACAAAAUCUACUGGGAAUCCUCUUUUCAACUACCUUUUUUGGUCACAUCAGCAAAA